GUAUCUUGAAUGUCUCUGCCGAGGAUAAGACCACCGGACAGAAGAACAAGAUUACCAUCACAAAUGACAAGGGCAGACUCUCAAAGGAGGAGAUCGAGAAGAUGGUUCAGGAAGCAGAGAAGUACAAAUCUGAGGAUGAGGAGCACAAGAAGAAGGUUGAGGCAAAGAAUGCUUUGGAGAACUAUGCAUACAAUAUGAGGAACACAGUGAAGGAUGAGAAGAUUGCGUCCAAGCUGUCCGCUGAUGACAAGACGAAGAUUGAGGAUGCCAUUGAGCAAGCCAUCCAAUGGC
rnacentral:lncRNA from 1 species